GAUGAACGCUGGCGGCGUGCCUAAUACAUGCAAGUCGAGCGAACGGACGAGAAACUUGCUUCUCUGAUGUUAGCGGCGGACGGGUGAGUAACACGUGGAUAACCUACCUAUAAGACUGGGAUAACUUCGGGAAACCGGAGCUAAUACCGGAUAAUAUUUUGAAACGCAUUGUUCAAAAGUGAAAGACGGUCUUGCUGUCACUUAUAGAUGGAUCCGCGCUGCAUUAGCUAGUUGGUAAGGUAACGGCUUACCAAGGCAACGAUGCAUAGCCGACCUGAGAGGGUGAUCGGCCACACUGGAACUGAGACACGGUCCAGACUCCUACGGGAGGCAGCAGUAGGGAAUCUUCCGCAAUGGGCGAAAGCCUGACGGAGCAACGCCGCGUGAGUGAUGAAGGUCUUCGGAUCGUAAAACUCUGUUAUUAGGGAAGAACAUAUGUGUAAGUAACUGUGCACAUCUUGACGGUACCUAAUCAGAAAGCCACGGCUAACUACGUG
rnacentral:rRNA from 1 species